AACGAACGCUGGCGGCAUGCCUAACACAUGCAAGUCGAACGAGACCUUCGGGUCUAGUGGCGCACGGGUGCGUAACGCGUGGGAACCUGCCCUUAGGUUCGGAAUAACUCCCCGAAAGGGGUGCUAAUACCGGAUAAUGUCUUCGGACCAAAGAUUUAUCGCCUUUGGAUGGGCCCGCGUUGGAUUAGCUAGUUGGUAGGGUAAAAGCCUACCAAGGCGACGAUCCAUGGCUGGUCUGAGAGGAUGAUCAGCCACACUGGGACUGAGACACGGCCCAGACUCCUACGGGAGGCAGCAGUGGGGAAUAUUGGACAGUGGGCGAAAGCCUGAUCCAGCAAUGCCGCGUGAGUGAUGAAGGCCUUAGGGUUGUAAAGCUCUUUUACCCGGGAUGAUAAUGACAGUACCGGGAGAAUAAGCUCCGGCUAACUCCGUG
rnacentral:rRNA from 1 species